CAGCAAGUCCUGGGUGAACGUAUAUUGUGUCCUGAAAGAUGGAAAGCUGACCUUCUAUAAGGAUGCCAGGAACCACAACACAACAUACAACGGAGAGCCUCCUGUUGACCUUAGUAACUGCUCAUUUGAUCCGUCGAUGGGAUACAAGAAGAAGAAAAAUGUCUUCAUCCUUCAAGUGAACGAUGGAAACAACUUCGUAUUUCAUGCAAAAGAUGAGGAGGACCUAAAGGCAUGGACUUCUACUAUCACCACCUGUAUAGCUGAACACGAGGCCAUGGCCAAGUGGGAUAAGCCAGGCACCUCAUCUAUGGAUCCUGA
ensembl:lncRNA